rnacentral:lncRNA from 1 species
UUUUUCUCUAUUGUCUAUGAAGGUAAGAUACGUGAAAUAACAACUGUUCACUCUCCAAUAACAAGCAUGUGCUUAUAGAGAUUUUUGUUUGUUGCUCACCUGAAAGUUAUAUGCAACUCUGUAUUUUUUAAACUAACUAGACUGUCGGACUAAUAAUUGAAUGUCUGUUUGUUCACAUGUCUGAGAUUUAUGGGUUCAAAUUCACACAAAACCCAUAUUAUUGUUCCGUUGACAUACACCACGGAGAAGACAACACAAUAAUUUUAUUUUUAUGUAAUUGUUGACGUAAAACUGCUCAACUUUUUCGCUACCAACAGAAGACACGGGGAUGACAGCGAAUCAUCGAGUAAUAACCAAGAUCAGCUAGAUGUAUCAACCUGCCUCAUUGUGGCUGUGCGGAGACAUUGAUGAUUAUGAGUCUCUCAUGUUACCAUGAGUUCCACCUCGGUAAGGGUGCAUGGAUCGAUUGAUUCAUAGUCGAGCCUCUCCUGCUUAUCAUAAUUUUCAUAACUGAGUGAACGGAUGCGUGAAUGUUUUGUUCCUUUUGGUAGGAGAAUAUUAGGCAAAGUAGUGGCUCAAACCGGCAGGAUUAGGAGCUGAAGGAGUGAGUGGGUAAAGUCGAUGAGUGAAAAGGCAUCUUCACCAGCAGCAACUCCACCAUCACAUUUAGCAGCACUCGGGUAGAACCAAAAAAGAGCUUUAUAUAGAUGGAUAUCUUCUAAUCAACCUGUACUGUGUUUAUUAUAGUGCUAUGCACAGAAAAAAUAUUUUCCCUAAGCAUACUGCUCCUUUUAUCAAUUGUUUAUGACUACAUAUGGAUGGAUGAUUAAAGGCG